AAAGUGCCCCAGCCUGAGCUGGCGGACUACACCACUGCCUUUCCCGCAAGGGAAGGGUUAUGUGUCCACCCAUUGUGAAACUUCUACCUUUGCUUCGGCAGCACUCUCUUCGGAGGGGUAAGGCUGUCAGAAGCCCAUAUCAAACUAGUUGAUGAAAUGUCAUGCUGUCUGAUAACUACUAUUUGAGAAAUCAAAUUGAACUUA
rnacentral:misc_RNA from 1 species